rnacentral:rRNA from 1 species
CCUACGGGCGGCAGCAGUGAGGAAUAUUGGUCAAUGGGCGUAAGCCUGAACCAGCCAAGUCGCGUGAGGGAUGAAGGUUCUAUGGAUCGUAAACCUCUUUUAUAAGGGAAUAAAGUGUGGGACGUGUCCUGUUUUGUAUGUACCUUAUGAAUAAGGAUCGGCUAAUUCCGUGCCAGCAGCCGCGGUAAUACGGAGGAUCCGAGCGUUAUCCGGAUUUAUUGGGUUUAAAGGGUGCGUAGGCGGCCUUUUAAGUCAGCGGUGAAAGUCUGUGGCUCAACCAUAGAAGUGCCGUUGAAACUGGGAGGCUUGAGUAUGUUUGAGGCAUGCGGAAUGCGUGGUGUAGCGGUGAAAUGCGUAGAUAUCACGCAGAACCCCGAUGGCGAAGGCAGCCUGCCAAGCCAUGACUGACGCUGAUGCACGAAAGCGUGGGGAUCAAACAGGAUUAGAUACCCGUGUAGUC